AAUUAUUCCAACUGAAGUCAAACAACGGGAAUAAAUUAGAGAAGAGUGCUCUGUCUCCACAGGAGUGACAAGGCACUGCUGAGGGUUGAUGUCACCAGUAUUUGCACUUCCUCUGAGAGGCACAAAUGUCACAGAAACAGGUCUGGCCCUGGAGCAGAGUGGCAUCGUUCAGCUUAUCCUUAGGACAAGGAGAGCUGGAAAUCUGAACUGAUCUUUUGAUCUCAAAUCUUUUGUUGGAGCAGCUGUAGACUGGAGCUUGUCUCUGCAUCUCCUGAGUGCUGCACGUGGGGCUGGGUGUGCUGGAGAGUGAGGAACUGCCCUGCAGCAGAAAACAGCUCCAGCCCAUGCAUGAAACUUGAUCCAGGUGUCCUGCUGA